GACAGAGGGUGCAAACGUUGUUCGGAUUUACUGGGCGUAAAGCGCCCGUAGGCGGCUUUGCAAGUCCCAUGUGAAAUCCCACGGCUCAACCGUGGAAGUGCAUGGGAAACUGCAGAGCUUGAGUACUUAAGAGGAUCGCGGAAUUCCCGGUGUAGAGGUGAAAUUCGUAGAUAUCGGGAGGAACACCAGUGGCGAAGGCGGCGAUCUGGGAAGAUACUGACGCUGAGGUGCGAAAGCGUGGGGAGCAAACAGG
rnacentral:rRNA from 1 species